rnacentral:lncRNA from 1 species
ACCACAGCAGUGGCCUGAGCCACAGCAUGACAACUCCAGAUCUUUAACCUCUGGGCCACCAUGGAACUCCAAAACCAAACUAUUUUAAUCAUUCCGAAAGCUUUGAAUUUCAGCUCUUUCAAAACAGCACAAUAGAAACAUGAGGUAUUGAGGAUUGGGGUAGGGGGUGCUACACCUACUCUGAUGAUAACAUUUCUUUCUUUAAUAUAUUGCUCAAAGAAUUGGGGUUGACCUCUGCUCUAGGAUAUACGGACCAAAAAGUGAUCAAAUAGCUCUACCAUUUCCUUUCGAACACUGUAGACUCAAAAUAUUCCAUAUGAACUUGAGUUAAAUUCCUGCAGUUGACCUGAGAUAGUGAAUGAAAAUCAGAAUGCACACAGUGGGCUCCAGGGUCAACCGUGUGCAUUUGUGUGUGGUACUGAGUCCACCUGCAUCGUGGACGGCCACGUGCAUCCGGGCAGGUCCCCUCCACUGUGUGCUUCCUCGUCGGGAGCCCAGGGCAGCAGGGCGAGUCCACAGGCCUCAUGGAGACGGAGGGCACCUUUGCAUAUGAGUCUGUGGGGGCAGGUAGCCCACAGAAGGUACGAGGCACUUAGUCCCCAUGGUCAACGCCAAGGCCCUGGGGAACUCAUCCCACCCACCUUGAGCUCUUGUUCGCGUCCCAUCUCCUCAUUAAUCUUGGUUUAUGGGACCUUGAUUGUUGGCUCACCUUCCUGCCUCCUUUUGGAGACUCAGCAUCUCAUGAGGGUGGGAACCACGACAUUCUCCCGUUUGUCCCCACUGCAUGUUGCUGGAGAGAAGCCCAGCAAAGGCUGCUGAGUGAAUGCUGAGUGAAAGAAUGAGAGAGGGUCUAGCAAUCAGAACGUUCAGUGGUUCCAUAGUUGAGAACAGACUCGUGGAGCUAAUGGGGGAAAAUCUGCAGCCCACUUUAAAGACCAGGUUUCCUCUAAGUUAUACCUCCAGCUACUUAGUCCUAAAACCAAACAGAAUGCUCCCGGCUCCACAAAUACACCUCGUUUUUUCCUGUGUUGAGUGAUUAGUUUUUCUCCAUUUAAGGCACCUUCAUCCAAAGCAGUUCCUUAAAAUUAGUAAAACAGGAGAAGCAAGCAUAAUUUAAGACUAAGUAUGUUUUGGAGGUGUUAUCUUAAAAAUUUAUUUACAGUUUUGGGAACUGUGAGUUAAUGCAUAUUUCUAACCAUGAUGAACUAAAUAUAGUUAAGUCUUAUUUAUAAGGUUUAUAAAUAAGUGCUCUAAAUCUUUUUUGCUUCUUGUUUAAAAUGAGUUGAAAAACUAUAAAUACAUUAGUCACAGAAUAGAGCAACAAAAAGAUUUAGGUUUUCAAGUUUCCAUUAAUUGUACUCACUGAAAGCAAAAUUUGCAAACAGGAUGCCACUGGAAUUUAUUCUCACAAAAGCAAACAAGAAAUACAGGUGUGCCUUGGCGCUACUGUGGGUAUUGUUCCAGAUCACCCCAAAAAAGUGAAUAUUGCAAUAAAGUGAGCCACACAUUUUUGGUUUUCCAGUGAAUAUAAAAAUUAGGUUUACACUAUACUGUGGUUUACGUAUAUAAUAGCAUUACAUACAAAGAAACCAAAAUACACACCUGAAUAAAAAAUUACUUUAUUGAUAAAAAAUGCUAAUCUUCACCAUCUGAAGGUCUUGCCUCAGUGCUGAUGGUUGUUGGUGGAACUGAAUGGUGGUUGCUGAAGGCUGGAGUGGCUAAUGGCAAUUUCCUAAACUAAAGCAACGACAAAGUUUGUUUCAUCGAUUGAUUCUUCAACAAUUUCUCUGUAGCAGGCAGUGCUGUCUGAUAGCCUUUUACGCACAGUAGAAAUUCUUUCAGGAUUGGUGUUAACCCGCCCAAAGUCUUCCACUGCUUUAUCAACUGAGUGUAUAAUGUUCUGGAUCCUUUUUGUCAAUUCAUUAAUACUAACAGUAUCUUUACCAGGAACAGAUUCCAUCUUAAGAAAGCGCUUUCUUUGCUCAUCACCAUAAGAAGUAACUCCUCAUCUGGUCAAUUUUUUUUUUUCCCUUCCCUUUCCUUUUCUUUUCUUUUUAGGGCCAAGCCUGAAGCAAAUGGAAUUUCCCAGGCUAGGGGUUGAACUGCAGCUGCAUCUGCCGGCCUACGCCACAGCCACUGCAACGCCAGAUACGAGCCACGUCUGUGACCUACAUUGUAGCUCAUGGCAACACUGGGAUCCUUAACCCACUUGAGUGAGGUCAGGGUUGGACCCCGCAUCCUCAUGGAUACUAGUUAGUUGGGUUCCUAACCCCCUGAGCCACACUGGGAACUUUUCUUCAUCCGUUCAAGUUUUAUCAAGUGAUUGUAGCAAUUCAGGUACAACCUUCAGGCUCCACUUCUAAUUCUAGUGUUCUUGCUGUUUGCACCACAUCUGCAGUUACUUCCUCCACCAAAGUCUUGAGCCCUCAGAGCUAUCCAUGAAGAUUGGAAGCAAUGUCUUCCUAACUCCUGUUACUGUGGAUAUUUGGAGCUUUCCCAUGCAUCAUGAAUGCUUUUAAAUGGCAUCUAGACUUUUGAAUUCUUUCCAGAAUGUUUUCCAUUUACUCUGCUCAGGUCCAACAGAAGAAUCACCAUCUCUGGCAGCUGUAGUCUUUGGAAAUGUAUUUCUUAAAUAAUAAGACCUGAAAGUCAAAAUUACUCCUUAAUCCAUGGGCUGCAGAAUGGAUGCUGUGUUAGCAGGUACGGAAACAACAUCAUCUGAUUGUCCAUCUUCAUCGGAGCUCUUGGGUGACCAGGUACAUUGUCAAUGAGCAGUGACAUUUUGAAAGGAAUUCUUUAUUUUUUCUGUGUAAUAGGUCUCCACAGUGGGCUUGAACAUUUAGUAAAGCAUGGUUGUAAACACACAUGCUCUCAUCCAGGCUUUGUCAUUGCAUUUGUACAACACAGGCUGAGUUAAUUUAACAUAUUUCUUUUUUCCCUUUUUUUGUCUUUUUAGGUCUGCACUCAUGGAUGCUAGAAGUUCCCAGGCUAGGGGUCAAAUGGGAGCUGUAGCUGCCAGCCUAUGCCACAGCCACAGCCAUGCAGGAUCUGAGACAUGUCUGUGACCUACACCACAGCUCACAGCAAUGCCAGAUCCCCAACCCUCUGAGCAGGACCAGGGAUCGAACCUGCAUCCUCAUGGAUACUAGUCAGAUUUGUUUCCACUGAACCAUGAUGGGAACUCCUAACAUAUUUCUUGAGAGCCCUAGAAUUUUAGAAUGGUAAACAAGCAAUAGUUUCAACUGAAAGUCACCGACUGAAUGAGCCACGAACAAGAGAGUCGGCCUGUCCUCGGAAGGUUUAAAGCCAGGCACUGACACAUCUCCUCUUUGGCUAUGAAAGUCCAAGAUGCCUCUUCUUCAAAUGUAAGGCUGUGUAGCCAUUAAAAAAAGAAUGAAGUAAUGCCAUUUACAGCAACCUGGAUGCAACUAGAGAUUAUCUUCUAAGUGAAGAAAGACAGAAAGAGAAAGACAAAUAUUACAUGAUAUCGUUUAUAUGAGGAAUCUAAAAUAUGGUAUAAUACUGUGAGAUUCUCACAUUAUUAUAAUGGCGUAAAAUGGUACAAUUCUCACAUUAUUAUAAUGGUAUAAAAGAAUGUAUACAUGUAUGUGUGACUGGAUCACCUUGCUGUGCAGUAGAAAACUGAUGGAACAGGUAAACCAGCUAUAAUGGCAAAAAUAAAAAUCAUGAUAAAAUAUGGCAUAAAGGAACCUGUCUAUAAAACAGAAAUAAAGACUCAGACAUAGAGAGCAGACUUGUAGUUACCAAGGGGGAGGGAGAGGCAGUGGGAUGGACAGGGAGUCUGGGGUUAGAAUGAAGAAGCAGCGAGGUCCUACUCUUUACGGCACAGGAAUUUAUAUCCAGUGUCUUGGGGUAGAACUCGAUGGAAGAUAAAACAAGCAAAAGAAUGAGUCACUGUGCUAUAUAGUGAAACAUUGGCACAACAUUGUAAAUCAAUCAUACUUUAACCAAAAUCUUUUCCAACACCUAAAAAUAGGCUGUUUUAUCAAUACUGAAAUGACCUGAGCUAGACCUUCUGAAUAACCUGUGGCAGCUUAUACACAUCAGCACUUGCUGUUUCACCUUGUACUUUGGCGAUGGCUUUUUUCCUUGAACGUCACACUCCAACCUUUGCUAGAUGCAACCUUUUUCUUCUUCAGCUUCCACACCUUUCUGAGUCUUGAGAGGAUUGAAGAGAAGUAGGACCUCGCUCUGGAUGAGGCUUC